GAGGAGAAGGUGGAAAACAGUUUCCCAGGGUUAGAGGCAGAAGCUUGACAUUUAGAGUGGUAGAAAGUGGCUUUAGCAGCAGAUACAGAGGAAGAGAAGGAAGAGAGGAGGGAGUGAAAGGAUGAUUGGUCCUCCAGAAGUUCAGUUUUUCUCCAUUUUCUGUUCUGUAAGCCCUGUUCUGUAAGCCCUGUUCUGUUUACCCUGUUCUGUUAGCCCUGUUCUGUAAGCUCGCAAUGAGUCACUCAGACACAGAGCAGGAGGGGAGGGCCUAGCCGGCCGGGAGAAAUGGGGACAGUGCGAGUCAUAUGAUGUGGAAAGGGAGGAGAGUAAGGUCGAAGAGGCAGGAUCAGGAGACAAGAGGAGGGGUGUGUCACUUGAGUGGGUUGAGUCACUGAUGUGGUCUUCCUGUCUGGGUUUGCACCCCCCCCCCCUUGGGUUGUGCCGUGGCGGAGAUCUUUGUGGGCUAUACUCGGCAUUGUCUCAGUAUGGUAAGUUGGUGGUUGAAGAUAUCCCUCUAGUGGUGUGGGGGCUGUGCUUUGGCAAAGUGGGUGGGGUUAUAUCCUUCCUGUUUGGCCCUGUCCGGGGGUAUCGUCGGAUGGGGCCACAGUGUCUCCUGACCCCUCCUGUCUCAGCCUCCAGUAUUUAUGCUGCAGUAGUUUAUGUGUCGGGGGGCUAGGGUCAGUCUGUUAUAUCUGGAGUAUUUCUCUUGUCUUAUCCGGUGUCCUGUGUGAAUUUAAGUAUGCUCUCUCUAAUUCUCUCUUUCUCUCUUUCUUUCUUUCUUUCUUUCUUUCUUUCUUUCUUUCUUUCUUUCUUUCUUUCUUUCUUUCUUUCUCUCUCUCGGAGGACCUGAGCCCUAGGACCAUGCCUCAGGACUACCUGACAUGAUGACUCCUUGCUGUCCCCAGUCCACCUGGCCGUGCUGCUGCUCCAGUUUCAACUGUUCUGCCUGCGUUCAUAAAUGGAACCCUGACCUGUUCACCGGACGUGCUACCUGUCCCAGACCUGCUGUUUUCAACUCUCUAGAGACAGCAGGAGCGGUAGAGAUACUCUGAAUGAUCAGCUAUGAAAAGCCAACUGACAUUUACUCCUGAGGUGCUGACUUGUUGCACCCUCGACAACUGUG
rnacentral:lncRNA from 1 species